ACAGUGGUAGUUCAGUGGUAGAACUCUCACCUUCCAUGUGUGAGACCCCCAGGUUCGAUUUCCAGUCAAUGCA
rnacentral:tRNA from 1 species